rnacentral:misc_RNA from 1 species
GUAGGUGAACCUGCGGAAGGAUCAUUACCAAAUCCAAAACUUUAUAUAAACCCACUUUGUGCACCGAGAAACCGAAUCUUUACCCUUUCUCACUUUCAAUUCUCAGCUUCCAAUUCCUUUGGAAACUGGGGAGAGGGAGGGUAAGGAGUUUUUUUUUUUUUUAAAUAAAAAAAAAACACAACCCCAAAAAAAAACUCUUAACAGUCAUGUUAAAGCUUAAUUUUUUUUUCUUACAUGUUUGAAUGCUUAUAGCAAACAAAAAACAAAAAUGACAACUUUUAACGGUGGAUCUCUUGGCUCGU